UACAGAGGGGGCAAGCGUUGUUCGGAAUUACUGGGCGUAAAGGGCGCGUAGGCGGCUAGGCAAGUCAGGUGUGAAAGCCCCGAGCUUAACUCCGAAACUGCAUUCGAUACUGCCGUGCUUGAGGACUGGAGAGGAGACUGGAAUUUACGGUGUAGCGGUGAAAUGCGUAGAUAUCGUAAGGAAGACCAGUGGCGAAGGCGGGUCUCUGGACAGUUCCUGACGCUGAGGCACGAAGGCCAGGGGAGCAAACGGG
rnacentral:rRNA from 1 species